rnacentral:tRNA from 1 species
GGAGGUAUGGCUCAAGUGGUGAAGUACCUGCCUGGCAAGCACAAAACUCAAACCCUGAGUUCAAACCCUAGUACCACCA